GGGCAUGUAGUCCAAUGGAUAAGAUACCUCAAUUGUCGAAGCACGAUUUCGCUCGUGGCUAUCCAUCAGCGUAUUCGAUGUCUAGGACGGUCGAGAUCAUGUCCGAUCGAUGGGGAGAUGCGAGUUCGAGUCCCGCCGUGUCCA